GGGUAUGGUGCCAGGGUGACAGAGGGUUUGUGUUCAAGGCUGUAUCACUGUGCUAUGUGUUCAAUGGAGGGACCCAGGUGACGAUACUAGGAUUACAUCUGCUGCCCUGAGAUGUCACCAAACCUCCAGGGGAAGGUGCAGAAGGGCAUUCAGCAGAGGGGACCUGACUUCUGGAACCUUCAGGCCCCAGGAUGGACAGACACCCUGUGAGGAAGUGCGGCAUGGCAGGGCUGGAGGGUGAUUGGCCUCUGGGACCCAACUCCCAAAAACUCUCCCACCCAAGUCCCCUCAAUGAAAUCUCAGUGACACCCAUUUCCCUGCCAUCACUGUAAAUGCAAGCCACUCCAGUCCCCUUCCCCUGGCCCUGACUGGUCUGGCUGCAGCCAGCAGUCAGGGCGGCCUCAGGGCCCCCACUCCAUCUCUAUCAGAGAGCAGCUUCUCAGGCCCAGCACCAGCUUUCAGGCCUCAACAUCUCAAAUGUGAGGAGCCACCAUCCCUCCCAAGACGGCCAUGACAGGACCACAGACAUGAUCCCAGGCGGAAGAAGUGACCCAGAAGUAAUGAAAUGCCUGGCCUCAGGGAUGGCCCAUCUGUAACCUGACAAACUCUUGAGGAUUCUAUUUCCCAGUAAGAAAAUAAUGGGGCAUCAGUGUGUGAACCCAUCCUCUAACAGACUGUGUGGGAAACCCCCCGUAAAGCUGGGUCACUGGGCAGUCUGUCAGGGCCUCUGACCUCCCUGGGUUAUUAGGCAUCCCCGGUGACUUCCAAGGCACUCAGUCACUCCAGAGUAGACCAUCUGGUGCCCCAGGAUACCCCUCCAGGCCACCCCUUCACCUUUGCACACUCUGACCCUCCAGGAUGGCACAUCCAGGCCAAUCUACCUUCCAGUCACCUUCUCCUGUCCCUCUGGCAGUAAACCCACUCUUUCUCCCACCCCAGAACUCAUCUCGGAUGCCACCUUCUCUCCUGUUGCUACCUACCUCUCACCUGCCCCCUAUAGCAUGACUCUAAGGACUCCGGGGCUCUACGGCCCCUUUACCUUGUCUCAAACUAGCUGGUCUCUCUGUCACCCCACCUCUCCCCUACAUUUGCCAGGGUAUCAUCGAUGGCCCUCAAGUGCCCUAAUCCAACUGUCUCCUCACAGUCUUCCCCUCGGCCGACCUCUAGGUGGACUUGAGAACCGCACACCAUUCUCCCCAUCUUGAACUCCUCAGGCCCCCAAGGUCCCUCUCCUGAGCCUUCUUCUCUAUCCUCUAUCCUCCUCCAUCCACUUUGUUCUGGUAUUGCCACUCAGGGUCACAGGGAGCUGGCCCCAUCAGCCACUCUUUCUAAGUCAUAAACUAGAUCUAAAAAGGG